UUAAGCGACUAAGCGUACACGGUGGAUGCCCUGGCAGUCAGAGGCGAUGAAGGACGUGCUAAUCUGCGAUAAGCGUCGGUAAGGUGAUAUGAACCGUUAUAACCGGCGAUUUCCGAAUGGGGAAACCCAGUGUGUUUCGACACACUAUCAUUAACUGAAUCCAUAGGUUAAUGAGGCGAACCGGGGGAACUGAAACAUCUAAGUACCCCGAGGAAAAGAAAUCAACCGAGAUUCCCCCAGUAGCGGCGAGCGAACGGGGAGCAGCCCAGAGCCUGAAUCAGUAUGUGUGUUAGUGGAAGCGUCUGGAAAGGCGCGCGAUACAGGGUGACAGCCCCGUACACAAAAAUGCACAUAUUGUGAGCUCGAUGAGUAGGGCGGGACACGUGGUAUCCUGUCUGAAUAUGGGGGGACCAUCCUCCAAGGCUAAAUACUCCUGACUGACCGAUAGUGAACCAGUACCGUGAGGGAAAGGCGAAAAGAACCCCGGCGAGGGGAGUGAAAAAGAACCUGAAACCGUGUACGUACAAGCAGUGGGAGCACGCUUAGGCGUGUGACUGCGUACCUUUUGUAUAAUGGGUCAGCGACUUAUAUUCUGUAGCAAGGUUAACCGAAUAGGGGAGCCGAAGGGAAACCGAGUCUUAACUGGGCGUUAAGUUGCAGGGUAUAGACCCGAAACCCGGUGAUCUAGCCAUGGGCAGGUUGAAGGUUGGGUAACACUAACUGGAGGACCGAACCGACUAAUGUUGAAAAAUUAGCGGAUGACUUGUGGCUGGGGGUGAAAGGCCAAUCAAACCGGGAGAUAGCUGGUUCUCCCCGAAAGCUAUUUAGGUAGCGCCUCGUGAAUUCAUCUCCGGGGGUAGAGCACUGUUUCGGCAAGGGGUCAUCCCGACUUACCAACCCGAUGCAAACUGCGAAUACCGGAGAAUGUUAUCACGGGAGACACACGGCGGGUGCUAACGUCCGUCGUGAAGAGGGAAACAACCCAGACCGCCAGCUAAGGUCCCAAAGUCAUGGUUAAGUGGGAAACGAUGUGGGAAGGCCCAGACAGCCAGGAUGUUGGCUUAGAAGCAGCCAUCAUUUAAAGAAAGCGUAAUAGCUCACUGGUCGAGUCGGCCUGCGCGGAAGAUGUAACGGGGCUAAACCAUGCACCGAAGCUGCGGCAGCGACGCUGAUGCGUUGUUGGGUAGGGGCGUUCUGUAAGCCUGCGAAGGUGUGCUGUGAGGCAUGCUGGAGGUAUCAGAAGUGCGAAUGCUGACAUAAGUAACGAUAAAGCGGGUGAAAAGCCCGCUCGCCGGAAGACCAAGGGUUCCUGUCCAACGUUAAUCGGGGCAGGGUGAGUCGACCCCAAGGCGAGGCCGAAAGGCGUAGUCGAUGGGAAACAGGUUAAUAUUCCUGUACUUGGUGUUACUGCGAAGGGGGACGGAGAAGGCUAUGUUGGCCGGGCGACGGUUGUCCCGGUUUAAGCGUGUAGGCUGGUUUUCCAGGCAAAUCCGGAAAAUCAAGGCUGAGGCGUGAUGACGAGGCACUACGGUGCUGAAGCAACAAAUGCCCUGCUUCCAGGAAAAGCCUCUAAGCAUCAGGUAACAUCAAAUCGUACCCCAAACCGACACAGGUGGUCAGGUAGAGAAUACCAAGGCGCUUGAGAGAACUCGGGUGAAGGAACUAGGCAAAAUGGUGCCGUAACUUCGGGAGAAGGCACGCUGAUAUGUAGGUGAAGUCCCUCGCGGAUGGAGCUGAAAUCAGUCGAAGAUACCAGCUGGCUGCAACUGUUUAUUAAAAACACAGCACUGUGCAAACACGAAAGUGGACGUAUACGGUGUGACGCCUGCCCGGUGCCGGAAGGUUAAUUGAUGGGGUUAGCCGCAAGGCGAAGCUCUUGAUCGAAGCCCCGGUAAACGGCGGCCGUAACUAUAACGGUCCUAAGGUAGCGAAAUUCCUUGUCGGGUAAGUUCCGACCUGCACGAAUGGCGUAAUGAUGGCCAGCUGUCUCCACCCGAGACUCAGUGAAAUUGAACUCGCUGUGAAGAUGCAGUGUACCCGCGGCAAGACGGAAAGACCCCGUGAACCUUUACUAUAGCUUGACACUGAACAUUGAGCCUUGAUGUGUAGGAUAGGUGGGAGGCUUAGAAGUGUGGACGCCAGUCUGCAUGGAGCCGACCUUGAAAUACCACCCUUUAAUGUUUGAUGUUCUAACGUUGACCCGUAAUCCGGGUUGCGGACAGUGUCUGGUGGGUAGUUUGACUGGGGCGGUCUCCUCCUAAAGAGUAACGGAGGAGCACGAAGGUUGGCUAAUCCUGGUCGGACAUCAGGAGGUUAGUGCAAUGGCAUAAGCCAGCUUGACUGCGAGCGUGACGGCGCGAGCAGGUGCGAAAGCAGGUCAUAGUGAUCCGGUGGUUCUGAAUGGAAGGGCCAUCGCUCAACGGAUAAAAGGUACUCCGGGGAUAACAGGCUGAUACCGCCCAAGAGUUCAUAUCGACGGCGGUGUUUGGCACCUCGAUGUCGGCUCAUCACAUCCUGGGGCUGAAGUAGGUCCCAAGGGUAUGGCUGUUCGCCAUUUAAAGUGGUACGCGAGCUGGGUUUAGAACGUCGUGAGACAGUUCGGUCCCUAUCUGCCGUGGGCGCUGGAGAACUGAGGGGGGCUGCUCCUAGUACGAGAGGACCGGAGUGGACGCAUCACUGGUGUUCGGGUUGUCAUGCCAAUGGCACUGCCCGGUAGCUAAAUGCGGAAGAGAUAAGUGCUGAAAGCAUCUAAGCACGAAACUUGCCCCGAGAUGAGUUCUCCCUGACUCCUUGAGAGUCCUGAAGGAACGUUGAAGACGACGACGUUGAUAGGCCGGGUGUGUAAGCGCAGCGAUGCGUUGAGCUAACCGGUACUAAUGAACCGUGAGGCUUAACCU
rnacentral:rRNA from 1 species